UACGAAGGGGGCUAGCGUUGCUCGGAAUUACUGGGCGUAAAGGGCGCGUAGGCGGAUAGUUAAGUUGGGGGUGAAGCCCGGGGCUCAACCUCGGAAUUGCCUUCAAUACUGGCUAUCUUGAGUACGGGAGAGGUGUGUGGAACUCCGAGUGUAGAGGUGAAAUUCGUAGAUAUUCGGAAGAACACCAGUGGCGAAGGCGACACACUGGCCCGUUACUGACGCUGAGGCGCGAAAGCGUGGGGAGCAAACAGG
rnacentral:rRNA from 1 species